rnacentral:lncRNA from 1 species
UCCCUCCAUAACAUAACCCUCGGGUAUAUCAGGCAAUUCAUAUCUAGGAGAGCUAGAUCUAGCAGGAGCAAAAGCAGGUUCUAUCUCAAUAGUAUCGACAGUUUCAGAAGCAUCACGAGCAUUGGCAGUAACUCUAGCAAUACGAGCAUCAAGGAAUACCCCUAGUGGCAUAUCAGGCAAGGCAGCGUCUCUAGCAGUAUCAAGCAUAGCAUCAUCAGGCAAAAUAGCAUCUCUAGCAUCAUCAUACAAAGCAGUAUCAAGCAUAGCAUCAUCAGGAAAAAUAGCAUCUCUAGCAUCAUCAGGCAAAGUAGUAUCAAGCAUAGCAUCAUGGAUAGCAGUAUCAGGCAUAGCAUCUCUAGUAGUAU